AUUGAACGCUGGCGGCAGGCCUAACACAUGCAAGUCGAGCGGAUGAAGGGAGCUUGCUCCUGGAUUCAGCGGCGGACGGGUGAGUAAUGCCUAGGAAUCUGCCUGGUAGUGGGGGAUAACGUCCGGAAACGGGCGCUAAUACCGCAUACGUCCUGAGGGAGAAAGUGGGGGAUCUUCGGACCUCACGCUAUCAGAUGAGCCUAGGUCGGAUUAGCUAGUUGGUGGGGUAAAGGCCUACCAAGGCGACGAUCCGUAACUGGUCUGAGAGGAUGAUCAGUCAAACUGGAACUGAGACACGGUCCAGACUCCUACGGGAGGCAGCAGUGGGGAAUAUUGGACAAAGGGCGAAAGCCUGAUCCAGCCAUGCCGCGUGUGUGAAGAAGGUCUUCGGAUUGUAAAGCACUUUAAGUUGGGAGGAAGGGCAGUAAGUUAAUACCUUGCUGUUUUGACGUUACCAACAGAAUAAGCACCGGCUAACUUCGUG
rnacentral:rRNA from 1 species